rnacentral:rRNA from 1 species
GCUAACGUCCGUCGUGAAGAGGGAAACAACCCAGACCGCCAGCUAAGGUCCCAAAGUCAUGGUUAAGUGGGAAACGAUGUGGGAAGGCACAGACAGCCAGGAUGUUGGCUUAGAAGCAGCCAUCAUUUAAAGAAAGCGUAAUAGCUCACUGGUCGAGUCGGCCUGCGCGGAAGAUGUAACGGGGCUAAACCAUGCACCGAAGCUGCGGCAGCGACACUAUGUGUUGUUGGGUAGGGGAGCGUUCUGUAAGCCUGCGAAGGUG